UGGGGAAUAUUGGGCAAUGGGCGCAAGCCUGACCCAGCAACGCCGCGUGAAGGAAGAAGGUUUUCGGAUUGUAAACUUCUGUCCUAAGUGACGAAGGAAGUGACGGUAGCUUAGGAGGAAGCCCCGGCUAACUACGUGCCAGCAGCCGCGGUAAUACGUAGGGGGCGAGCGUUGUCCGGAAUUACUGGGCGUAAAGGGAGCGUAGGCGGUCGAUUAAGUUAGAUGUGAAACCCCCGGGCUUAACUUGGGGACUGCAUCUAAUACUGGUUGACUUAGAGUACAGGAGAGGGAAGCGGAAUUCCUAGUGUGGCGGUGAAAUGCGUAGAUAUUAGGAGGAACACCAGUGGCGAAGGCGGCUUUCUGGACUGACACUGACGCUGAGGCUCGAAAGCGUGGGGAGCAAACAGGAUUAGAUACCCUGGUAGU
rnacentral:rRNA from 1 species